CGCAAUGAUUACUGAAUCACAGCGACACAUGAUGAAGCGUUCAUAGUUACUCUGAGCGG
rnacentral:snoRNA from 12 species